rnacentral:rRNA from 1 species
UCCAGACUCCUACGGGAGGCAGCAGUGAGGAAUAUUGGUCAAUGGGCGAGAGCCUGAACCAGCCAAGUCGCGUGAAGGAUGACGGCCCUACGGGUUGUAAACUUCUUUUGUCAGGGAGCAAUUGAGUCCACGUGUGGGCUUAGCGAGAGUACCUGAAGAAAAAGCAUCGGCUAACUACGUGCCAGCAGCCGCGGUAAUACGUAGGGGGCAAGCGUUAUCCGGAUUUACUGGGUGUAAAGGGAGCGUAGACGGCGUGCCAAGUCUGAUGUGAAAGGCCGGGGCUCAACCCCGGGACUGCAUUGGAAACUGGCAUGCUGGAGUGCCGGAGGGGCAAGCGGAAUUCCUAGUGUAGCGGUGAAAUGCGUAGAUAUUAGGAGGAACACCGGUGGCGAAGGCGGCCCCCUGGACGAAGACUGACGCUCAGGUGCGAAAGCGUGGGGAGCAAACAGGAUUAGAUACCCGAGUAG